CUGAUUUGAAUUUAUUAACUAAAAGGAUUAACAAUGUUUCGGUCGCAGUUGAAAGCAUCAGUUUUUAUUAUAUGUUUAAUUUUAAUAUUUUACUCUCUUCCAAAUGUCGAAUCCGCUCCAAUCACGGUUGAGGAAGUCAUGGACACUCUAUAUAAACUUGUCUCAGAUAGCGGAGUGAAAGCACAAUGGGUUGGAAAACAAGCUCAUACCUUGGGUGAUAUUCUCAAGGCCAUGGGCAAAGCAGCAGCUGUCAAUUCGCAAAUUAUUAGAGACUUGCAUAAUCCAACUGAAAAAUCAACUGGCAUCGAAAUGGAAGAUUUUAUCAAUUUUUAAGAAAGUUAAUUGUGAAGUAAAUGUAAUGGGUUUAGGUUUCUAUGGGAUCUUCAUAUGGACUCUAAAUAGAAUACCUAAUUCCUAA